GCGGGGGUGGCCCAGUCAGGUCAAACAGCAUAGGGCUAAAGAACCUCUUCCCGAAGGGGUUCGUGGGUUCAAAUCCCACCCCCCGCA
rnacentral:tRNA from 1 species